rnacentral:rRNA from 1 species
GGGGAUGCGUCUGAUUAGCUUGUUGGCGGGGUAACGGCCCACCAAGGCUACGAUCAGUAGGGGUUCUGAGAGGAAGGUCCCCCACAUUGGAACUGAGACACGGUCCAAACUCCUACGGGAGGCAGCAGUGAGGAAUAUUGGUCAAUGGACGGAAGUCUGAACCAGCCAAGUAGCGUGCAGGAUGACGGCCCUAUGGGUUGUAAACUGCUUUUGUAUGGGGAUAAAGUUAGGGACGUGUCCCUAUUUGCAGGUACCAUACGAAUAAGGACCGGCUAAUUCCGUGCCAGCAGCCGCGGUAAUACGGAAGGUCCAGGCGUUAUCCGGAUUUAUUGGGUUUAAAGGGAGCGUAGGCUGGAGAUUAAGUGUGUUGUGAAAUGUAGACGCUCAACGUCUGAAUUGCAGCGCAUACUGGUUUCCUUGAGUACGCACAACGUUGGCGGAAUUCGUCGUGUAGCGGUGAAAUGCUUAGAUAUGACGAAGAACUCCGAUUGCGAAGGCAGCUGACGGG